GUCUAGGGCCAUACCACCCUGAACAAGCCCGAUCCUGUCUGAUCUCGGAAGCUAAGCAGGGUCUGGCCUGGUUAGUACUUGGAUGGGAGACCACCUAGGAAGACCAGGUGCUGUAGGUG
rnacentral:rRNA from 1 species